UAGUGGUUAGAGGCAGGUAGCCUAGUGGUUAGAGGCAGGUAGCCUAGUGGUUAGAGGCAGGUAGCCUAGUGGUUAGAGGCAGGUAGCCUAGUGGUUAGAGGCAGGUAGCCUAGUGGUUAGAGGCAGGUAGCCUAGUGGUUAGAGGCAGGUAGCCUAGUGGUUAGAGGAGGCAGGUAGCCUAGUGGUUAGAGGAGGCAGGUAGCCUAGUGGUUAGAGGAGGCAGGUAGCCUAGUGGUUAGAGGCAGGUAGCCUAGUGGUUAGAGGCAGGUAGCCUAGUGGUUAGAGGCAGGUAGCCUAGUGGUUAGAGGCAGGUAGCCUAGUGGUUAGAGGCAGGUAGCCUAGUGGUUAGAGGCAGGUAGCCUAGUGGUUAGAGGAGGCAGGUAGCCUAGUGGUUAGAGGAGGCAGGUAGCCUAGUGGUUAGAGGAGGCAGGUAGCCUAGUGGUUAGAGGCAGGUAGCCUAGUGGUUAGAGGCAGGUAGCCUAGUGGUUAGAGGAGGCAGGUAGCCUAGUGGUUAGAGGAGGCAGGUAGCCUAGUGGUUAGAGGCAGGUAGCCUAGUGGUUAGAGGAGGAAGGUAGCCUAGUGGUUAGAGGAGGCAGGUAGCCUAGUGGU